CUCAAGCUAUCGGAGAUGUAAGCGGAAUUUCUUGGUUAUUUGUUCUGUCUCUGCCUAUUUCAUCUGAUUGGUAUGUCAAUUAAAUACCGUUUACAAAAAUUUUCAAUCUGGGAAGCUGCUAGUGAUCAAGUAUUAAAGAUCUAGAGGAAAGAAGAAUUGCUUCAUUAUUUCCUUCUAAUUGAAGGAUGUAUUUCGUUUCAACUAAAA